CCCCUUUUAAAAGCACUCAGUGGGCCUUUUGCUAAUAACCCACUGAGACUUUAAGAAAGGGGCACUUUUGGGUGAAGUGGCAACAUGAUGUGUUGUUUUAAUAGUUUCUUUUCUUUUUUAAAACAAGG
ensembl:snoRNA LOC120095423 small nucleolar RNA SNORA21